rnacentral:rRNA from 1 species
CCUACGGGAGGCAGCAGUGAGGAAUAUUGGACAAUGGGCGCAAGCCUGAUCCAGCCAUGCCGCGUGCAGGAAGAAGCAUCUAUGGUGUGUAAACUGCUUUUGUACAGGAAGAAACACUCCCUCGUGAGGGAGCUUGACGGUACUGUAAGAAUAAGGACCGGCUAACUCCGUGCCAGCAGCCGCGGUAAUACGGAGGGUCCGAGCGUUAUCCGGAAUCAUUGGGUUUAAAGGGUCCGUAGGCGGUUUAAUAAGUCAGUGGUGAAAUCUGGUCGCUCAACGAUCAAACGGCCAUUGAUACUGUUAGACUUGAAUUAUAAGGAAGUAACUAGAAUAUGUAGUGUAGCGGUGAAAUGCUUAGAUAUUACAUGGAAUACCAAUUGCGAAGGCAGGUUACUACUUAUGGAUUGACGCUGAUGGACGAAAGCGUGGGGAGCGAACAGGAUUAGAUACCCUGGUAGUCCACGCCGUAAACGAUGGAUACUAGCUGUUCGGAGCAAUCUGAGUGGCUAAGCGAAAGUGAUAAGUAUCCCACCUGGGGAGUACGUUCGCAAGAAUGAAACUCAAAGGAUUGACGG